rnacentral:tRNA from 1 species
AUUAGUGUGGCAGAAACAGGUAUUGCAGAAGGCCUAAGCCCUUUACACGGAAGUUCAAAUCUUCCCUCUAAUU